CGGUGAAAUGCGUAGAGAUUAGGAGGAACACCGGUGGCGAAGGCGGCUUACUGGACAGAUACUGACGCUGAGGUGCGAAAGCGUGGGGAGCGAACAGGAUUAGAUACCCUGGUAGUCCACGCCGUAAACGAUGAGUGCUAGGUGUUGGGGGUCAAACCUCGGUGCCGCAGCUAACGCAUUAAGCACUCCGCCUGGGGAGUACGUACGCAAGUAUGAAACUCAAAGGAAUUGACGGGGGCCCGCACAAGCAGCGGAGCAUGUGGUUUAAUUCG
rnacentral:rRNA from 2 species